AGAGUCGGUCAGGCAAUCGCUCUUUGCCUAACAGCAAGGGGAGGAAAGUCCGGGCUCCAUAGGGCAGAGUGCCAGGUAACUCCUGGGAGGUGUGAGCCUACGGAAAGUGCCACAGAAAAUAUACCGCCCACUUUUCCUUUGGGAAUCGUAGGUAAGGGUGAAAUGGUGCGGUAAGAGCGCACCGCGCGAUUGGUAACAGUCGUGGCAGGGAAAACCCCACUCGGAGCAAGACCAAAUAGGAAUCCAUUUGACUGCAAGGUCCUAACGUAUGGCCCAUACGGGAUUCGGGUAGGUCGCUUGAGGCAUGUGGUGACGCAUGUCCCAGAUGAAUGGUUGCCCACGACAGAACCCGGCUUAUCGACCGACUCUAAUC
rnacentral:RNase_P_RNA from 20 species